rnacentral:tRNA from 1 species
GGAGCUGUGGCGUAGAGGGUAAAGCCACUGCCUGCAGUACCAGAAUCCCACAUGAGCUCUGGUUCAAGUCCUGGCUGCUCCA